UUUGAGCUCCACCCUUCAUGCUAAAUUUGCAUCAGGAAGUUUACUGACUACACCAUGUCAGAGGAACUUGGGCUGCAAUUUCACAAUGACUGGCAGGAGUCACAAGUGUCCGGGGUUAAAUUUUUAUAUUUCUAUCCCUUUUAAACUUUGUAUUAUUCCAUUCCGUGUGGCAGCUGCCUUCCCUCAGUACUCUGGGCUGAGAAAAGCGAGGUCCUGCUGCUUUGUCUCACUGGAGGCACAGUCACACUGAGAUUGGGAGUCGACAAGCAGAAUGGAGAGCUGAGAUGGCGGAGAGCCUGCAUCAACCUGUGGUUCAGAAACUUCAUAUAAAAGAUAGUUAAAAAGGAUCAUUAAGAAACGUAUUUAGAGCUUUGGGCAGGGCAGUAUCGUAGCCAGUGAGGUUUAUCCAAGGUGCAAUUAUUGCUAAUAAGAAAUGAUUUUAGAAUUUGUUGAAUAUUUAUUUUUAAUAUUAAUAUAUAUGCUUUAAAAAUCUAAGUACUACAUAUUUGCUAAUCACAUAAAAACGUCUCUGUGAACUAUAAAACAAUAGCUAAAUUAUCUAGAAACUGUAGCUGUUUCAUAAGCCAAGAGAGGUCUUAUGAGAGUCCACUAAGCUCAGUCUGCUGAGAACAAUCUACUCCACUACCCGGUCUGAACCAAGUCCCUGAUUGAACACUAAUUUUAAUUUUAUAACUUAUUGAAGACAUUACUAGAUAUAUCAUGCAUCAUGAUCUUUGCCAACUCCCCCUGCCAUGGCCCAUGCUUUAUCACUAAGCUGGAUUCCUUUGUGCUUAUCCCUAAUCACUCCUCCCUAACUGACACCUGUUCAAAUUCACUCCAACACAUCUCUAAGCACACUCACUGAGACUCCUGAAGGAAUACUUCUGAAAGCAAUGAUGCAAUUACCUUUACUUUCUAGAAGAGUGGCUAAGGGUCUUUUCAGUGAAAAAAAAUUGAUAAUGCACCUGCAGAACCUACUGAGCCAGAAAUCCUUAGUGUUGGCCCAGAAAUCUGGCUUAACAGGCUCUCAAGAUGCUUCUGUUAAAAGCUAAGUUUAAGAAUUAGGAAGUAAAUAAAUAUUAAAGCUUUGUUUGGUAAAGGUAACUCAAACAAUGCAAUGUUAGGAGAUAGUCAAACAUAUGAGAGAUAACAACACAAAUUAUUAGUAAGUAAAAGUAUUAGUAAGUUAUGGGCAACACAGUAUAUACAGGACAUAAUUUUCAGUUAAUUAUGGAAUCCAGAGCUUCAGAGGAGAAAAGAAAGCAGACCAUGCUGAUAUUGAGUAUAUGUCAGUAGAUAAGAUGGAGUAAGCCCGGCUGCAUGGGGCUUUGGUUUAGUGAGGGGAGACCCAGAACAGAGAAGUCGAUUUUGAGUUGAUUGAGUGCCAUGAUGGGCAGAUUGCAGAACUGCAGAGAGGAUAAAUGGGAGGAAGAAUCAUUGUACAGAGGUCAGGAAAGGAUAUUUUGAGAAAGUGACAUUUAAACUGAGACCUGACGUGUGAGAAGAAGUCAGCGACAGCUCACAGCUGUGGUGAAAUCUGGAGAAAGAAGAUUUCAAGAAGCAGAAGGCCAUGUAGAUGUGAUCAAAAUAUGUAAAGAACUCUUUUGUGAAUGUCUUUAUAAGAUGUGAUCAAAAGUAUGGUGAGUGCCCCUGCUAAGUGCCAUCCAACAGAAGCUCAGGCUCAAAAGCUACAACAGUGUGUACUCAUCUCCGUUAUCCGCCGGAGCUGGCACCAAGCAGCUGCUGGUCUUUCUCCAGGUCAGAAAUGAUGAUGAGUGGGAAAUGUUUUGAAUCAAUUCAGGACAUGGAGGCAGCCACAAGAAUGCAAUUAAAGACACCCAUGAAAGAGGACUGCCGGAACUGCUUCAGAAAGAGGCAAGAGGCCUAAGUGUGUUCAGAGCAAGGAAAGGUUGAAAUGAUACAAAUCUUCCUUACCCUAUGGCCCCAUAAGAUGACUUAUUCAUUGCUAAUUACCCCAUUACUUGUGACCUUGAUCAUCCACCAUGCUGCCCACUACUGAAACCCUGCUGAGUGGAUCAGUCUAAGCCAGCAGUAUGGCACACGGAUACAAAAGAAGACCAAGACCAAGUUCUGCAGUGGAGGAGCUCUGGGAUGACUCAAUAUUUUCUGUGAAAGGAAAGCUUUGUCUCUAAAAGCUCACGGCUUUUAUUGGUGCCAAUCAGGGAAGUAGGCAGGAGACCUGGCAGAUUGCACAAGAAAGAUGAAGUUUGUAGCCAUACUAGGCCUAGAAACCUCCAAUUAGCAAAGCACAGAUAGUUUUGAUGCAUGCAAGAUUCGCACCUUUACUGCCAAGAGCAUUUAUUUCAAUAUAGCCAGCUGUACACAUCUCAGUAAACAGGGUGAAGUACUGAUCAGGGACAAGUUGUGGCAAGGGAUUUGUUUUCCAGGAGCCCUCUGGAGUAUGGCAGUCUCCCACAGUCCAUGGACACCAGCUUCCAAUGACUCUGACAGGUCGAUCCUGUGCAGCACAGAUGACAACCACAAAUGCACAUUUAAUUCAGGAAGGAAAAAAGACAAGCACUCUUUCAUUCUCCAGUUGUGUUAAAUUUACCUUUUGGAACAUACCCUAUGCCUUGACUCUGAACUCUUGGCCAUAACCACUGCAUUUCUAGGGUGAGAUUCCUGUCGAUGAGAGUGAAUUCAAACCUUUCAUACAUUGUCACCAGGCGGAGGACAGACCUCAGGAGGAGGGACAGAGGAGUCCCUUUCCGUAAAGAAUGUCCAUCCUUGCUGGACCCCACCAGCAUCUCUUCUCUAAAUGGGUGUGAGGCAAGCUAGGGCUCUGAGACACCAGAGAGCAUGUUUUCUCUCUCCUCCCACAGAGAGCACAAUGACAGCCGUUUGUAAGAAAAGGUCGCCUAACAGAAUCCAGCCACACUGGCACCCUGAUCCUGGGUGCUCAGCUUUCAAAUCAGUGAAAAAAUAAAUUCCUGUUGUGUAAGGCAUCCCUCUACAGUACUUUCCUGUGGCUGCUUGAGCUAAAAGUUUCAUAUAUAUGCAAAUCUUGGUCCUCAGGGUAGCACUACUGAAAGAUGGGAGAACUACUGAGAGACGAGAACUCACAAAAAGACAUUCAUAAACUAAAAAGAAGGAAAAUAGUAUUUCAUGUAUCAGGAUCCCAAGAGUAAGCAGGAGUAGCAAUUUUACUCUUAGACAAAGAAAACUUCAAGUUAGCAAAGAAAAUCACCUUAUACUAUUAGAGGGCAUAAUCUAGUAAAAGAAGGUAACACUUGUAAAUACAUAUGUACUAAACACUGGAGCACUUGUCUUGAUAAAACAAAAACUACUGGACAUAAAUUACCACAUUAACACCAGCACAAUUGUAGUGGGUGAAUUCACCUUCACACAGAGACAGAUCAAUUAAAGAAAAAAAUUAACAAAGAAAUAUUGGAACUGAUAUUUCUUUAACACAAGUGGACUUAAUAGAUAUCUACAGAGUGCUCUAUCUUACAAAAACAAAAUACACAUUUUGCUCAGCAGCACACAGAGCUUUAUCCAAACCAGAUCAUACGGUAGUCCACAAAGCCUGCUUAAAUAAAUAUAAAAGACUCAAAAUAGCCUUGUAUCUACCACCAGAUCAUUGUACAUUGAAAUUAGUAAUCAAUCACAGAACAAACACCAGGAACCUUAAUAUGUGUUCAGAAUAUACUAGGAUUUCUUCACUGUACCUAUUUCACUUUUCAGGAAACAGGCGGCUUAAACAUCUGGAUUUCUCUUGGGCUCCCUAGUCUCCAUCUUUUGAAAGGAAAAACUGGUGGCCUGCAGCCAGAGAAUGUCCUCAAAUACCUGGCAAAGCGGAGGCCAAGGCCAUCCUUUAUGGCUGGGCUGCAGGCUCUGGCUUCCACCCUAUUUCCCAGGCUGCCCUGGGAGCUUUCUAGAACUUGAACUGCGCCCUGAGUGUCCACCAGGGGGUGGCAGUGCCCUGUCACUGAGGAAGAGUCUGCCAGGGCAGGGUUGGCCUAGAGCUAAGGGCUCUACUGAGAGUCCCUCAGGCUGCAAACCCAAACCCUCCUGUUUCUCUGGUGUGAGAAACUAAAGAGUAAAUAAGGACCAAAAUGUAUAAAAGAUAUUGUGAAACAGGAAAAAAUUCUUCAAAAGAAAAAAGAACUAGGAUGCGGAAAGAGGAAAGGAAGGACCCGGACCCAAAAGAAAAGAAAAAAGACAACAUAAUUAUACUACGGAGUUUCCCUUAGUUCAUUGAAAAGAAAGGUCAGUGCUGAUAUCAUUUGAAGAAUUUUUUAUGGCUACAUCUUGUACUCUGAGUAACUACUUUGAAGAUAACAAUAUGCAAUGUAUUUAGUAUUGUUUUUCUCCUAUUUUUUAUGAAAUUUUUUCCAUAAAAACAAACAAUAACCCGCCCCCCCCCCCAAACUCCCUCCUUCUGCUGAGCCCUCAGCUUCCACAAAAGAGCCUCUGCCCACUUUAUUGAGAUUCAGAUUCCAACCAGGUUUCCAAAUGCUAAGAUUUUAGGAAUUCAAUUGUCUUCUUCCUUAAAUUCAAAUAUUUACAGAUUUCCUCUUAUUAAAUAAGUUCUGUAUCUUAGGAAUCCAACCCCAUGACAACUUGUAAUAGUCACAGAAAGUUCUCUUUCUUCAAGGUCUUUGUGGAUUCUCUCAAACAUAGGAUUCGUGUCACUGUUGCCCUGAGCAAUCAGGGACAGAUAGCAGCAGGAAUCUUGUCUCUUACCUCAGAUGGAGGUCAAACCUUUGGUCACCCUCCCUGUAUCCAUCCGGUCCCCAAGCAAUUAUUCACUGGAAACAAAAAUUUUAAUUUUCUGUUUGAGCAAGGAAUCGAGAAGAACUAUGAAUUUUAUCCUUUAAAUAAUGAGAAAGGAAAAAUUCAGAACUUUCUUUGAAAAUAAGCUUUACAUAAUGGAUGUAGGAGUUUAAAUACCAUGUCUGGGCCUGAAAUCAUUAGACUGGUUGAAGCGCACACUUUCAGGAGAUCCCUUAGGAACCACAGCUGCCUUCAGACCACAGUGGUCCAGAGGAUUGCUGUGGGGGCGCUGGGGGAAACACACUCAGCCGGCCAAGCAUGCAGCCCUGGGGACUCCCCUACUGAAAGUCCCACUCUGAGAAAAGGCCUUUCUGCCAGUUUUAAGUUGCUGCAGUGAGGCAAUAUGCCACCCUGCUUCCAGAAAACACCACUGUUCAAUGUGGAAAAAAAUCAAAUCAAGACAAUGAAACUACUUAUUAUGGAAAAAUUGGUCAAACAAAGGACACUAUGUGGUAUUUAAAUUUCAGGAAAAUAGCAAUCAUCUUGAUCAAAACCUUCUGAUAUCUCAGAAAGAGGAACCAGUGAAGUCACUCAUCCGCACCAUCCGAAGUGCCAGACAUAACAGGGCACUGGAGAGCUGUUGUUCAUUCCCUCACGAGCUACUGUCUUAAUCUUUACAAGUAUUUUUUAAAACACGAUUUGUCUGGCAUAUAAAUAUGUGAAAAAAAUGUGCAGUGUCAUCGGUCAUUCAAGAGAUGCAAAUUAAUACAACCCUGAGAUUCCAUCUCACUUCAGAAAGAAUACUGUUAUAAAGAAAUUAACCAUUAGCAAAUGCUGGAAGGGUGGUAGAGGAAAAGGAACCCAUCUCCACUGUUGGUGGGAUUGUAGCCACUGUGCUAAUCAGUGUGGAGAGUCCUCAAAAAACUAGGACCAGAGGUUCUAUCUGAUCCAGCUAUUCCCCUUCUUGGUAUCAUCCCAGAAGAAUUAAACUCAUCAUACCACAGCAAUAUAUGCACAUCCAAUAGCUGCACAGUUUAUAACUGGUAAAUCUUGGAAACAGCCCAAAUGCUCAUUUAUGAAUGAAUGAAUAAAUAUGUGGGGUUUUUAUACAGUGGAGUAUUGCUUUGUGAUAAAGAAGGGUACCCUUGAGUCAUUUCUAUGCAAAUAGAUGCACCUUGAGACCAUACUCUCAAGUAAAAUAAAUUGGACACACAUGUUUAAAUAUCACUUUGUUUCUCUCACAAACUGAAAGGGUAAAUAAGGUCUAAGAGGUUUAAUAGAUACUUAGAAAUAGGGAAAAAGUGUCCAAAUGGGAAAGAGAACAAGGAAGAGUGUAAUGGGAUAGGAAGGAAGGAACAACAAAAAAAGAGAAUAGAAGGAAAAUGGAAAUAAAACUUAUAAAUAAGGAGGGGAAGAGAAGUUGAAGGGAGGGAAAGGGAUUAGGGUAAUAACAAUCCAGAUAUACUAUGCACAGGUACAAAUUCCCUAUGAUGGAUGUGAUCAUUAGGUAUAUCUAAAAUGUACCAAUAAAAUUAAUUUUAAAAAACAUUUGUCAAACCAUACAAUUAAAUUAAUCAUAAGGGGUACAUACAAUGUGUGUAAGGGAGGUCCAGGGGAUUACACAUCUAAAACUUAGUACACAUACGUUUCUUCUCUGUUGUUGUGUGUGUGAAUGAUAAGGCUGAAAGUGACAACUGGAUAAACUUGAAUAGUAACAGAAACCCAAGAAAUAGCAGAGAAAAGAUUUUACCAUAUUAAAAAGUACAUGGCAAAGAUCACUGUAUAACUAAACCAGUAUGCAGUGAAUAUAAUUGUUCUAACACCACCUAACCUAAAAUUAAAUCUAUGGAUUGAGAAAACUGACAACCUAAUGUUGAAAACUGGGUUAACCACCAGACAGAUUAUUAUAGAAGGGAAACUGCAUAUAGUUUAUAAACUUAGGGGAAUAAUCUCAACUUUAUGGGUAAAUGGGUUGAAAAUUAUAAAUUUUCAUUAAUCGUGUUGUCAAUUUUAAGCAUUUAAGGUUGAAAAGAUUUUGGUAAAACAAACAAACAUCAGUGACAGAAGUGUGAAUUCUAAGAGCACAAAAGUAUUUGGAAAGUAUUUUGGUCAUUAUUUGGUAAUAUUUACAAAAUGUUUAACCUAGAAAUGUCACUAAGUGUCAUUUUAGUGAUCUUUAUCCGUGAAUAUAUGUAUAUACAUGUAAGUUUACAUAGACAUGUACAUAUUAAGCAUAUAGUAAUAAACAUUAAUUCUUACUUCAGACAUAAAUAUAGAAAUAAGAAAAGAAAUUAUCCCUAGUUUGGCAAAUAGCCUUGAUUCUACUGAGUGAAUAGGGACCCAGAAUUUCCGGUAUAAUAAUAAAACAAAUUUUAAGAUAGACCUCUCCCAACUUUUUAUUUUUGUAGUUUUUGCUGUCUUCCUCUGUCAUGAACAGCUGCUCCUCUGCCACACCAUCCUGCUUUGGAGCCAGCUGAGUAUGGAAUGAAACUUCUACAAACUGUGAGCUCAAUAAACCU